AUGAAGAAGCAACCUUGUCUAUCCCACCAUGGCCAUCGCUCACAAAGGACUUGCCUCACUAGGGUAGAUCUUCACGAAGUAGGCGAUCCCCUUGCCCGUACAAAAUCAUUGGUUCAACUCCACAAUCUUGUCGGAGGCUCCCAAGUAACACCUAACCAAUCUAGGAGACACCACUCUCCAAAAGGUAAUAGAAGUGUUGAUGAUGAAAUCCUUGCUCUUGUGCUUCAAAUGAUAGUCUCCCCAACACUCAACUCUCUCUCACGGAUUUGGAUUUGGUGGAAAGACGAUUUGAGUGGAAAGCAACUUGGGGAAGGCUAG
rnacentral:rRNA from 1 species